GCAAAGUUGUGUAGUGCGAUCGGUGGAUGCCUUGGCACCAAGAGCCGAUGAAGGACGUUGUGACCUGCGAUAAGCCCUGGGGAGUUGGUGAGCGAGCUGUGAUCCGGGGGUGUCCGAAUGGGGAAACCUGGAAUGUCCGGAGUAGUGUCCGGUGGCCCUGCCCUGAAUGUAUAGGGGUGUGGGUGGUAACGCGGGGAAGUGAAACAUCUUAGUACCCGUAGGAAGAGAAAACAAGUGUGAUUCCGUGAGUAGUGGCGAGCGAAAGCGGAGGAGGCUAAACCGUGUGUGUGUUCAAGCCGGCAGGUGUUGCAUGUGCGGGGUUGUGGGGGCCUUGUGGUUCUGCUGCCGCAGGAUUGGCCAGUGAGAAAUGUUGCGUGAAGGUGAAGCGUCUGGGAAGGCGUACCGGAGUGGGUGAGAGUCCUGUAACUGUAAGCGUGGCACUGGUGUGGGGUUGCCCCGAGUAGCGUGGGACUCGUGGAAUUUCGCGUGAAUCUGGCGGGACCACCCGUCAAGCCUAAAUACUCCUUGGUGACCGAUAGUGGAUGAGUACCGUGAGGGAAGGGUGAAAAGUACCCCGGGAGGGGAGUGAAAGAGUUCCUGAAACCGGUCGCAUGCAAGCCGUCAGAGCCUGUGUGGUGAUGGCGUGCCUUUUGAAGAAUGAGCCUGCGAGUUAGUGAUGCGUGGCGAGGUUAACCCGUGGUGGGGGAGUCGUAGCGAAAGCGAGUCCGAUAAGGGCGUGAGUCGCGUGUUCUAGACCCGAAGCGGUGUGAUCUAUCCAUGGCCAGGAUGAAGCGUCGGUAAGACGUCGUGGAGGUCCGAACCCACUUCAGUUGAAAAUGGAGGGGAUGAGUUGUGGAUAGGGGUGAAAGGCCAAUCAAACACCGUGAUAGCUGGUUCUCCCCGAAAUGCAUUUAGGUGCAGCGUUGCGUGGUUCUUGUUGGAGGUAGAGCACUGGAUGGUCUAGGGGGCUUAUCGGCUUACCGAAAUCAGCCAAACUCCGAAUGCUGGCAAGUGUAGCGUGGCAGUGAGACGGCGGGGGAUAAGCUUCGUCGUCGAGAGGGAAACAGCCCAGAUCAUCAGCUAAGGCCCCUAAGUGGUGACUCAGUGGGAAAGGAUGUGGAGUUGCGUAGACAACCAGGAGGUUGGCUUGGAAGCAGCCAUCCUUGAAAGAGUGCGUAAUAGCUCACUGGUCAAGUGAUUCCGCGCCGAUAAUGUAGCGGGGCUUAAGUUAUCCGCCGAAGCUGUGGCAACCUGUGUGGUUGGGUAGGGGAGCGUCGUGUCAGUGGUGAAGCUGCCGGGUGACUGUGUGGUGGAGUUGAUGCGAGUGAGAAUGCAGGCAUGAGUAGCGUGUGACGGGUGGGAAUCCCGUCCGCCGAUUAUCCAAGGGUUCCAGGGUCAAGUUUGUCUGCCCUGGGUGAGUCGGGUCCUAAGGCGAGGCCGACAGGCGUAGUCGAUGGGUAACCAGUUGAUAUUCUGGUACCGGCUUGUCACCGUCCGUGUCGAGGUG
rnacentral:rRNA from 1 species